rnacentral:lncRNA from 1 species
UGCUUUUACAACUUUGAGUUGAGGUAGAAAGUGAGUCAAGUUUUAAACUACUAAUAAUGAUGUGGAUCAUGUAAGCAAAGAUGUUAGGGAGAUAUGACAGACAAAAAAGUUCAGAAUGAAGACUUUCAUUCAAAUGAGGAAGUAAAUAGUAAUGUACGAGGUGUGGUGAGCCAUCCACAGGAGGCUCCGAGAGCCAGCAGCACCACCGACAGGGGUGAAAACAGGGGAAGAAAAUUCAUCUACAUACCCAGCAGCAAGAAACUGUGGAGAAAUGAUACAGCAGAAGUAGACUGUGUCAUCAAGGUCUAUGGUCACGUUAUACCUGAGCUCUCAAUGAGACGGAAACUAAAGGCUUGUCUCAGUUACCGAUUAGAACCAAAUGGGAAAGAGGAAAAGAACACUGGUUUGUAUUAACCAGCAGUUGGAACAGAAGACCCGCGACUGGGUGGAUACAGAAAUCAUCUUACUGUUCCAGUCUGCAGGGUCAUUACGAGCAUUUUUGAGGCUCACGGAUAGAAAGAGCUCGUGCAUCUCCCGGGUCUCUGCCUUUAUUACAGAUUAUUAUAAAAUUUUAUUCCCACA